AGAGCGAACGCUGGCGGCAGGCCUAACACAUGCAAGUCGAGCGCCCGUAGCAAUACGGGAGCGGCAGACGGGAGAGUAACACGUGGGAACGCGCCCUUCGGUUCGGAAUAACUCAGGGAAACUUGAGCUAAUACCGGAUACGCCCUUACGGGGAAAGAUUUAUUGCCGAAGGAACGGCCCGCGUCCGAUUAGCUAGUUGGUGAGGUAAUGGCUCACCAAGGCGACGAUCGGUAGCUGGUCUGAGAGGAUGACCAGCCUCACUGGGACUGAGACACGGCCCAGACUCCUACGGGAGGCAGCAGUGGGGAAUAUUGGACAAUGGGCGCAAGCCUGAUCCAGCCAUGCCGCGUGAGUGAUGAAGGCCUUAGGGUUGUAAAGCUCUUUUGUGCGGGAAGAUAAUGACGGUACGCAAGAAUAAGCCCGGCUAACUUCGCGCCAGCAGCCGC
rnacentral:rRNA from 1 species